GUCAGCCCAGCCUGAGGAGUGACCAGAGCAGCAAAGCCCUGCAGGACCAAUGCAAUGAUCGUAUUUAACAGGUCAGCACCUUGGAGAGAGCCCGGCCAGGAGAAUCAGCACCAAGGCCGGCAACAACGGGGAGAGGCGCGUGGGGAAUGCGGGCACUCAAUACGAACCGUCUCUGAUUGGACAGGCGCAGCUGGACUGCGUUCAAGAGGGAGAGAGACGCCCUACAAAAGGCCGGGCGGGAGGACAGAGCGGGGCUGAGUACUAAGGGAGAAAGACGCCGAACCAGCACGUGGGAUAAACCGCUGUUAGAAAGACGGACGACAAGGCGGAGAAGCGGGCCUUUCGAGGCCAGGGAAGGCGAGGAUUGGACGGUCCCGCCACUAAUAACGAUGGGCCAACAGCGUCACGUGAAUCCCAGAGCGCCGGUGUUCCUAAUCUUUUUGGCCGGUGACUUUUUUUUUGCUGUUGGGACUAUUGAAUUAUGCCCUGAAGGCACUUAGAAAAAAUUAAUAAAAAUUAUUUUUUGAUUUA